CAACCGUUAUGAGACCUCCGCCUAAUCCAAUGACUGGCUCUGGCAUGGCCAUGGGUGGAGGAAUGGGUGUUGGUAGCUAUGGAGGUAUGAACCAAAACCAACCCAUGGGUAUGGGUAUGGGGGUCGGAAUGAAUCAAAACCAACCUAUGGGUAUGGGAAUGGGACCUGGCAUGAAUCAAAACCAACCUAUGGGUAUGGGAAUGGGACCUGGCAUGAACAUGAACAUGAACAUGGGAGGAUAUGGCCAAGGCUAUCCGAUGCAACAACAAAACCCAGGGAUGGCCCCUGGCCCAAACAUGCCUGGAAACAACUACAAUCCGAUGAUGGGUC
rnacentral:lncRNA from 1 species